GAUGAACGCUGGCGGCGUGCUUAACACAUGCAAGUCGAACGAUGAAGCCCAGCUUGCUGGGUGGAUUAGUGGCGAACGGGUGAGUAACACGUGAGUAACCUGCCCUUAACUCUGGGAUAAGCCUGGGAAACUGGGUCUAAUACCGGAUAGGAGCGUCCACCGCAUGGUGGGUGUUGGAAAGAUUUAUCGGUUUUGGAUGGACUCGCGGCCUAUCAGCUUGUUGGUGAGGUAAUGGCUCACCAAGGCGACGACGGGUAGCCGGCCUGAGAGGGUGACCGGCAACACUGGGACUGAGACAGGCCCCAGCCCCCACGGGGGGGCAGCAGGGGGGAAUAUUGCACAUGGGGCGAAGGCCGGAGGCAGCGCCGCCGGGGGGGGGAGGACGGCCUGCGGUUUGUAAACCUCUUUCAGUGGGGAAGAAGCGAAGGUGACGGUACCUGAAGAAGAAGCACCGGCAAACUACGUG
rnacentral:rRNA from 1 species